AGAACAUAGAAAAUUUCACUCAAGACAAGAGUUAACAAGAUGCUGGUUCUAAGCCUUCUGGGAGCAGCUUUCAGCUCCAUUUGCCUUGCAACCAGCAUGGCCCAGAAGGUAAUGCAAACUCAGACUUCAAUUUCUGUGAUGGAGACGAAGACUGUGACAAUGGACUGUGUGUAUGAAACCCGGGAAAGUUCUUACUACUUAUUCUGGUUCAAGCAAAUGGCAAGUGGGGAAAUGGUUUUCCUUAUUUGUCAGGAUUCUUACAACAAGGAAAAUGCAACAGAGGGUCGUUAUUCUCUGAACUUCCAGAAGUCAGAAAGCUCCAUUGGACUCAUCAUCAGAGCCACGCAGAUUGAGGACUCAGCAGUAUAUUUCUGUGCUAUGAGUGAGGGCACGGUGGCAGAGGCAUCUAAAAGAGCCCCACAAAAACCUCAACCAGAGACAAAGGUUCUGAGAAUAUACUCCACAGACAGGAAGAGGCAAGGGCUGUGGUAG